rnacentral:rRNA from 1 species
GACGAACGCUGGCGGCGCGCUUAACACAUGCAAGUCGAGCGAGAACCAGGCUUCGGCCUGGGGAAAGCGGCGAACGGGUGAGUAACACGUGGGUAACCCACCCUUGGCACUGGGAUAGCCCGAGGAAACUCGGAUUAAUACCGGAUGGCCCAACAGCUCUUCGGAGCGGUUGGAAAAGGUAGCUUCGGCCUCCGGCCAAGGACGGGCCCGCGGCGGAUUAGCUUGUUGGUGGGGUAACGGCCCACCAAGGCGACGAUCCGUAGCUGGUCUGAGAGGACGAUCAGCCACACUGGGACUGAGACACGGCCCAGACUCCUACGGGAGGCAGCAGUGGGGAAUCUUGCGCAAUGGGCGAAAGCCUGACGCAGCGACGCCGCGUGGGGGAAGAAGGCCUUCGGGUUGUAAAGCACUUUUGUCCGGAAAGAAAUCGCGCUGGUUAAUACCUGGCGUGGAUGACGGUACCGGAAGAAUAAGCACCGGCUAACUACGUGCCAGCCGCCGCGGUAA